CAAAGAUUAUUCGCCAGACUAUAUAACAUAAAAAAAAAAAAAAAAACAACCUAAAACUCGAUCUCGAUCUCUCUCUCAUGGCGGCCGCAACCUAAAACUCGAUCUCUCUUUCUCACCCUCACCACCGCAACCAAAACUCCAUCUCUCUCUCUCUCUCAACUCUUCUCCCUCUCUAUUUUUAUUAGUCUCCACCACCACUACUACCCACCACCACCACCACCACCACCACCGCUGUGAUUCUUC
rnacentral:lncRNA from 1 species